rnacentral:rRNA from 1 species
UACGAAGGGGGCUAGCGUUGUUCGGAUUUACUGGGCGUAAAGCGCACGUAGGCGGAUUGUUAAGUGAGGGGUGAAAUCCUCGGAGCUCAACUCCAGAACUGCCUUUCAUACUGGCAAUCUAGAAGUCCGGAAGAGGUAAGUGGAACUCCUAGUGUAGAGGUGGAAUUCGUAGAUAUUAGGAAGAACACCAGUGGCGAAGGCGGCUUACUGGUCCGGUACUGACGCUGAGGUGCGAAAGCUAAGGGGAGCAAACGGG